UAACCAUGUUGAGGGCAACGACAUAAUAAAUCCUUAAAGUGCACCCUAAAUUCAUAAAAGGAUUCAAAAUCAAACUAUGAAAAUUGACCAAUCUCAUUGUGCAA